CAGAAUGUCCCAGAUUCCCAUCACAAUUUUCUUUCCCAUCAAGGGGAAUGCACUUCAGUCUGUGAGUAAAAAGACCAUCAAUUUUUCAUUUAGCAAACUUUCAUCUACCUUACCUGUUAAGUAUCCAAAGUCACACACUCAGGUAAGGUCAUUAACCUCAUCUCCUCUUUAUGAAAGCUACCCUAAGAUUAGACUUAGUUCAGUCAUUAUGCUCCUUGGAGAAAUCAAUAGUUAAUGCUGCCUUAUUUAUUAUGCAUGAAGACUGAUAUUUUUAAGAGAAAGAAUAAGCAUCGAGUGCACAUAUUUUACUUAAUUUCAUCAGGAUUUGAACACCUAUGCCUUUUAGACUCCUUUAGGAAACUCAAUAUAUAAUAACAGUAAGCAAAGUUAAUGCUAGGAAAGAAAGCUCGAUAACCCUCUUCUUAAAGAGCCAGGUUUUAUUAAGAAUGCGAAGACUGCCAUAUAUACCGCACUAAUACUUCUCUUCAAUUCUUGUCCUGAUUGCUGCAGACUAAGUAUUAAGUGGUAAAGAUGAAAAAAAAUAAAGCCACACAUUUCAAGUGCUGCAGCAGAUGUGCUUAUGCAUGUAUGUUUGCAGGAAGCCACAUGCAUUUUCCCAACAAAUAUCUAAAAGAAUGAUUUGGUCUAUUGAUCAUGUUCUGAAAACUUAAGUUCCUUAAAAAAGCUAAGGUCAAAAUAAAGUAAAAAGGAAAACCUGGAACUUCAGUGAUCCUGAAAACCCUGGAAUAUUAGGGAGGUUUAUUUCCACCAAUUCACAAGAUUGGGUUAUAGACUCCCAAGGAGGCCAGCUAGUUGGCAACCAACCUAAAAAGCACUCUUCAGUGUUUCCUAGUUGACUUGGUGGGCAUUUGGUGUCCAUGGAACAUCUUAUUUGCUUCAAUCUACAGAGAGAUCAACCUGAGAACCAGGCUGGUGAUCUAAUGAACAGGUUCAGCAUCAUGUACCUUCUUGCGAAAUGAAUGCCCUGAAGAAAAAACAUACAUAAAUUUACACAUAUGUACACUCUUUUCCAAAGACAAUUGUCCAAUGCAUAGCUAAUAUUAUAAAAGCAGUAAUUAAAAUCAAGUUGCUCAAGAGAAUCUUCCAGGUCGUAUACUGGUGGCAGUGCAAAUUUUACAGCCUGUGACAUACUGACUUGGAAAGAAAGGAAGCAUCUCUAGGAGUCACUGCGUCUCAGAGGAUUAUGCUGUCCUUCAGACAAAAUGGUAAUCUGUGAUUUGAAGCUGUAAAGAACCUGAAGCAAGCAGAAUACUGUAAGUGAAAUUGAAUGGAUUAAAGCACCAAAGGGGAAAGGCUGUCAAGAGCAAUUGCUUAAAGCUAGAAGGAUAGACUACUUAAAAUCAGAUCUUGGAGCUAGAACAUAAGGCAGGGAAAGAAACUAUCACUCACAGCUCAUACCUGAACAACAGAACGAACUCUUUCAUCCUGACAAAGAAAGAUUACUUGACAGAAUCAGAGAGUGUAUCCACAAUCCUGUCUCUGAAAGAAGGACUUUGAUAUAGUUUGAUUAUUUUUUUUCUUCGUGCAGAAACUCUAUUUCAGUUUCAGAGGACUCUUUAUUUUGUUUUGAUUCUUUUCCCUUUGUGUAUCUUAGUCAAUAAAUGUCCAAACUUUGGCACCGAUUUCUCAUUUUGUUUGUCAUGGCAACUGAGUAGGCUGAGGUUCUUAUUCUUCAAAUCACAAACCUUGUUUCUCAGAUGUUGUUCAGUAAUGUAAACAUCUCUGACAUCCUGGGCUCAGUUAUUCUAUCAAUAUUAAUACUACAUAGUCUUAUUAAUUAUUGUUUGUAACAACUAAUAAGCAACAUUAUUACAACUUCAGGCUGUAGAUUUUCUG